rnacentral:rRNA from 1 species
UGCAAGUCGAACGCGAAAGGGGAGCAAUCCCUGAGUAGAGUGGCAAACGGGUGAGUAACACGUGGGUGACCUGCCUUCGAGUGGGGGAUAACGUCCCGAAAGGGACGCUAAUACCGCAUGACAUCCUGUCCUUAGAAGGACGGAGAUCAAAGCUAGGGAUCGCAAGACCUGGCGCUUGAAGAGGGGCCCGCGCCUGAUUAGCUAGUUGGUGAGGUAACGGCUCACCAAGGCUACGAUCAGUAUCCGGCCUGAGAGGGCGGACGGACACACUGGGACUGAGACACGGCCCAGACUCCUACGGGAGGCAGCAGUGGGGAAUUGUUCGCAAUGGGCGCAAGCCUGACGACGCAACGCCGCGUGGAGGAUGAAGAUCUUCGGGUCGUAAACUCCUGUCGAAUGGGAAGAAUGUUUCGCGGAUGAAUAAGCCGCGAAAGUGACGGUACCAUUAAAGGAAGCCCCGGCUAACUCCGUGCCAGCAGCCGCGGUAAUACGGGGGGGGCAAGCGUUGUUCGGAAUUACUGGGCGUAAAGGGCUCGUAGGUGGCCAACUAAGUCAGACGUGAAAUCCCCAGGCUCAACCUGGGAACUGCGUCUGAUACUGGAUGGCUUGAAUUCGGGAGAGGGAUGCAGAAUUCCAGGUGUAGCGGUGAAAUGCGUAGAUAUCUGGAGGAAUACCGGUGGCGAAGGCGGCAUCCUGGACCGAGAUUGACACUGAUGAGCGAAAGCUAGGGGAGCAAACGGGAUUAGAUACCCCGGUAGUCCUAGCCCUAAACGAUGAAUGCUUGGUGUGACGGGUAUCGAUCCCUGUCGUGCCGAAGCUAACGCAUUAAGCAUUCCGCCUGGGGAGUACGGUCGCAAGGCUG